UACGUAGGGUGCAAGCGUUAAUCGGAAUUACUGGGCGUAAAGCGUGCGCAGGCGGCUUUGCAAGACAGAUGUGAAAUCCCCGGGCUCAACCUGGGAACUGCAUUUGUGACUGCAUGGCUGGAGUGCGGCAGGGGGGGAUGGAAUUCCGCGUGUAGCAGUGAAAUGCGUAGAUAUGCGGAGGAACACCGAUGGCGAAGGCAAUCCCCUGGGCCUGCACUGACGCUCAUGCACGAAAGCGUGGGGAGCAAACAGG
rnacentral:rRNA from 1 species